ACUUGAACCCCUCUAUCUAUUUUCUCUCUGGCGAGUAGUAACCCACUCUUUCUCUUUCUUUCUUUGGCAACCCCCUCUUUCUCUCUUUCUCUCUCUGGCUCCCCUACCAAAUCCAUUCUCUUUUUUUCUUUUCUCCCUCCAUCUCUCUUCCUCUUUCCCCAUCUCUCCGGUGGUGGAGGCUCCGACGAUGCCACGACACGAGUCGUGCGCACCUCCACCGACACCUUCCGGGCCGCGCACUACAGGAUUGAUCCCGGACGCGGCGCGCUCCCUCGGCCCCGCGAGCUACACGGAUCGAUCCUGGGCAGCGAUCUAAGGAUUUAGUUCUCCAACUGCGGCGGUUCCCACACCUUCGAUCCUUGACGCCAUUCUCGAGUGACAUUGCUGGUCCGAGUUGGGACGGUUCGUGAAGCGCGCAUCUUAGCAAUCGAUAGAGCUAUCGACCUGUCUUUUUGGUUAAACUCCUCAAGCCUAUCUUUUUAAUAAUUGACUUAGUAUUUAUGGUUCAGUGGUUUGCUUAAAUUGGAUAAAUGGGAUUUUGAGAAUGUAAUAAAGAACUUAUGGUUUUCUUUUGAAAUGAAGACAGUUUUCUAUCUCUCGUGGUAGCGCGUUUUAAAAGAAAAGGGUUUCCAUAUGGGAAAUGGUUUUAAAAAGGCUUUUUCUUGGUUUUCACGAUUCUUAGUAUUUCAAAAUGAGUUUCCGGAUAGAAAACGUUUUAAACUAACAGAUGUGAAUUUAUAUCUAUUUGUGAUCGAAUAAAGUGAAAAUUGUGAUGUGGUUAUGUAUGUGGAUGUUCAUACAGUUGUGGUUGUAUAUUGUACUUGUGUGACGCCGUGCAAAUACAGAGAAGACUCUGUCCGUGUGAACAGUGAACUCACUAUAUUUAUGGCGGAUUUUGCAUACCUUGUGUAGUACACUGAACUUUAGCAAAUUGCGAAGUUCGAGUGUUAGAAUAGUAAUUGAAACUAUUCUACAUCUUUUGAGGGGUUGUCGAGAGGUUUUCGGCAAGUUACUUGAGUGAUCAAAUGGCCGGAAGAGCAAAAGUGCAUUGAAGCGGGGAAAUUCUGCAUUUUGCACCGAGUACCGGUACCAACUUGCUCGAGUACCGGUACUCAGUACAGCAGCUACAUGGCUGAGGCUGUUUUGGUCAUUUCACCUUUGAACUUAUCCUUUUAUCACCCUAGCUUGAUCCCUGCAGCAGCUUAAGGUGUGCUGAAGCUCAGAGAACAGGAGUUAGAGCAGCUGUAGAAGAGUGGAAAGGAGUCUUGGGGAGAGGUAUUUCGUGACCCUAACUCAGUAGGAAGCUGAGUUGAAGUUUUACGAGCUGGUUUUGGAAAGCUUUGUAGCAGCUGUAGAAGAGUUGUUCCGCUGUGUUUCUUCAACCCUAACUCAGUAGGGAGCUUUGUUACAACUUUGGAAAUGUUGUUCGCAGCAGGUUGUAUAAACUCUGUUGGCUCAGUUUGAGGACUCUUGUGAGCUGGUUUUGGUGUGCUUCAAACUAAGUUGGGGCUGCGCAAGCAGGUGCACAGCAGAGUAUUGGAUUCCUUUGGCUGAGAUUUGUGAGCAUUGGAAGGUUGGUUUUGAUGUGUUCCAACCUGAAUUGAAGAGGAAUUCAACUUUGGUUACUUCUAAGGUACUUUGAAGCUUCAGAUUAUCUUCGUUUGUGGAAUCGACAAGAGUCGACAGCAAUUAGGUGGUUUUGACUUACCGAAAUGGAGCCUUCCACAGCGGGAAAGGCUAGGGUUCUUGGCGAGGGCUCAGCGACUAGCUAGAGCCUUCUCGAUAUUAAAUAGAUGAACAUCUACAAGUUUAUUCUAGUUUAGUUCAGUAAUUGUAUAUUGGAUCUAUGUAGAAUGUAUUUUAUUUUUGAGUUAUAA